AGAGCGAACGCUGGCGGCAGGCUUAACGACAUGCAAGUCGAACGGGCAUAGCAAUAUGUCAGUGGCAGACGGGUGAGUAACGCGUGGGAACGUACCUUUUGGUUCGGAACAACACAGGGAAACUUGUGCUAAUACCGGAUAAGCCCUUACGGGGAAAGAUUUAUCGCCGAAAGAUCGGCCCGCGUCUGAUUAGCUAGUUGGUAGGGUAAUGGCCUACCAAGGCGACGAUCAGUAGCUGGUCUGAGAGGAUGAUCAGCCACAUUGGGACUGAGACACGGCCCAAACUCCUACGGGAGGCAGCAGUGGGGAAUAUUGGACAAUGGGCGAAAGCCUGAUCCAGCCAUGCCGCGUGAGUGAUGAAGGCCCUAGGGUUGUAAAGCUCUUUGUGCGGGAAGAUAAUGACGGUACCGCAAGAAUAAGCCCGGCUAACUUCGUGCCAGCAGCCGC
rnacentral:rRNA from 1 species